rfam:Oryza rufipogon genomic scaffold, chr01
AAUAAAUGUAGUUUUGUACUAUUCACGUUCAACAUACCGUUCGUCUUAUUUGAAAUUUUUUUAUGAUCAGUAUUUUUAUUGCUAUUAGAUGAUAAAACAUGAAUAGUACUUUAUGUGUGACUAAAUAUUUUCAAUAUUUUCACAAAUUUUUCAAAUAAGACGGACGGUCAAACGUUGGGCACGGAUAUCCACGGCUGCCCUUAUU